rnacentral:lncRNA from 1 species
AUAUGUAUCACAUAAGUGGGAUAAAUGGUGUAACUGGUAUUGCACCUAACACAAUGAAUAAUGUAAUGAUGCCAAGAAUAAAUACUAUAAAUAUGCCAAAGAAUUUUACUACUACUUAUAAUACAAUGAAUAUGCCUUUAAACAACAAUAUACCUUCUUAUAAUAUACGCGUAGCAUCUUCAUUACCACAACAACGUCCGCAAUUACCGACCGCGUAUAAUAACAUUGUUAAUAAUAGUAGUAGUAGCAGUAGUAGUAGUAGUAAUAAUAACAAUAGUAGUAGUAAUAAUAAUAUAAGUAGUAAUAAUAUAAGUAGUAAUGAUAAUAACAGUAAUAAUAGCAAUAAUAAUAACAAUAAAGUUGGAAGUAACAGUAAUAAAAGGAUUAGUGGUAAUAAUAAUAUACUUAAUCCUAUGAAUGUUUGUGGUAAUAAUUUUAUUCAUAACAAUCCACUAAGUAUUUUACCUAAUAAUACAAAUAUAUCCUUGAAUGAUACACAUAACAAUAUUAUGAACAAUGUAGUUACAAAUCCUAUAUACAAUAAUAUAAUUCUAAAUAAUAAUGUAAAUGAUAAUAUGCAUGGUAUUUUAUAUAAUAACAUGUACAAUAAUAUGCAUACAAAUAUGUAUAACAAUAUGCAUAAUAAUAUGUACAAUAAUAUGCAUACAAACAUGUACAAUAAUAUGCAUAAUAAUAUGCAUAAUAAUAUGUACAACAAUAUGCAUAAUAAUAUGCAUACUAAUGUACGUAGUAAUAUACAUAAUAACUUACCCAACAAUAUUAUUAUAAAUCCAAAUGGAGGUUAUAAUCAGUUUUAUGGUUAUAAUAAUAAUAAUAACCUUAAUAAAAAUAUAUAUAUAAAAAAUAUAAGUAACAAUAGGAAUAUUAAAGAUGGUAUAAUAAAAAGUGAAAAUUUAAAUAGUUAUCAAGGUAUAUCAACAGAUAAUAUUAUAAAUACUGGUAAAGUUGAUAGUAAUAAAUUUAUGAAUGUUGUUGGUGGUGGUGGUAUUAUUAAUUUAAAUACUGGGAUUAAUAAUAAUGAACGUAUUUCUAGUAAUAUCCGUAUUAUUACUAAUAAUAGUAACAAUAAUAUUACUACCACCACUAAUAAUAAUAAUAAUAAUAAUAAUAGUGGUAGUAAUAAUACUAUUAUAAAAAA